rnacentral:tRNA from 1 species
CUUACCAUAGUUUAUAAAAAACAUUGACCUGCAGAAUCAAUAAAGGAAAUAAUACUCCUGGUAUGU